GCAAGCUCUCAAGUCUUCACGCACAACUAGCCUAUUUUUCAAGCUUCUCAAACUCUUCAUUCCUCUCUUGUUCUUUCACAUGGAUUAUGGGCAAGCUAUGAGUCUCAGCAUUUGAAGUUAUAUUUUUGUUAUUUUUGGGCUGAACCUUUCCCGAGUUUUGAGCUUUGGGUAACGAUUAUUGGUGUUAGAACUUCCAAUCUAUCGAUUAUUUGGAGCAAUUAUGACCAUAGCGGCGAGCUUCAAUCAUAACAUCCUGAGUACACUGCUACCAAAGUAUCCACAAUACCGGAGUACCUACAGUCACAACAUCAGAAUCUACACGGUUUAGAGGGUUGCCGCAUCCGCACAGAUAGAAGGACAAAGAUUGAGAUUGCAGUUGCAAAGGCAAGGAUCGAACAACGGACCAUCAUAAUAGAAUGGGCCAUUGUCAGACAGGAUGUGAUGGUGCCUCCAUUUGAUCUCAUCGACCAUAUUUUUCAAGAAAAUAAUUAGCGAAGCUUGUACACUUCCAACACAGUCUAUCCUAGACUUUUGCGAGAAUUUUAUGCUAACUUGAAGAUUGACAAGGUUAGCCCGAUACAUCCCAUCCGGAAGACCAAAGUCUGUGGCCAAUAGGGGUGGGCAAAUUAUCUGUCU